AGAGGGAAACAGCCCAGACCACCAGCUAAGGUCCCCAAAUCAUCGCUAAGUGAUAAAGGAGGUGAGACUGCAUAGACAACUAGGAGGUUUGCCUAGAAGCAGCCACCCUUGAAAGAGUGCGUAAUAGCUCACUAGUCAAGCGGUCUUGCGCCGAAAAUGAACGGGGCUAAGCGAUGUACCGAAGCUGUGGGAUUAAGAAAUUAAUCGGUAGGGGAGCGUUCCGUGGUAGGGAGAAGCAGUAGCGGCGAGCAGCUGUGGACGAAACGGAAGUGAGAAUGUCGGCUUGAGUAGCGCAAACAUUGGUGAGAAUCCAAUGCCCCGAAACCCUAAGGGUUCCAGAGCCAGGUUCGUCCACUCUGGGUUAGUCGGGACCUAAGGCGAGGCCGAAAGGCGUAGUCGAUGGACACCGGGUGACUAUUCCCGGACUAUGAUGUGGGAGCAUUGCUAGGGACGCAUGAAAGAUAGCUACACCCUAAUUGGUUUGGGAGGG
rnacentral:rRNA from 1 species